rnacentral:rRNA from 1 species
GACGAACGCUGGCGGCGUGCUUAACACAUGCAAGUCGAACGGAAAGGCCCUGCUUUUGUGGGGUGCUCGAGUGGCGAACGGGUGAGUAACACGUGAGUAACCUGCCCUUGACUUUGGGAUAACUUCAGGAAACUGGGGCUAAUACCGGAUAGGAGCUCCUGCUGCAUGGUGGGGGUUGGAAAGUUUCGGCGGUUGGGGAUGGACUCGCGGCUUAUCAGCUUGUUGGUGGGGUAGUGGCUUACCAAGGCUUUGACGGGUAGCCGGCCUGAGAGGGUGACCGGCCACAAUGGGACUGAGAUAAGGCCCAGACUCCGACGGGAGGCAGCAGUGGGGAAUAUUGCACAAUGGGCGGAAGCCUGAUGCAGCAACGCCGCGUGCGGGAGGACGGCCUUCGGGUUGUAAAACGCUUUCGCCUGUGACGAAGCGUGAGUGACGGUAAUGGGUAAAGAAGCACCGGCUAACUACGUG